rnacentral:misc_RNA from 1 species
CAAACAAAAGGUUGUUAUCUUAUUGAAAUAAGACCCAACACAACAAGCAGCAACAAUUCCACGCACUGAUAUCUAAUUGCGAGGUUUUAUAGUAUUCUGUCUAUAAUGUUGAAGAAGAGCCGCAAGCUUGUGAGGGGAAGAGAGUGACUCUUGCACCAAUGGAACUUGUUUCAAGGCUAUCACCCAUUUGUAUAUCAAUGGGUUUCUUUCAGGCACAAGAAUUUUUACACCAAUCACUUCCUCAAAAACCUUGAAGGACCCAAAUGUUG